rnacentral:snRNA from 1 species
GUGCUCGCUUCGGCCGCACAUAUAUUAAAACUGGAACGAUACAGAGAUUAGCACUACCUCUGCAGAAGGAUGACACAAAAAUUUGUGAAGCAUUCCAUAUUUUU